UACCUCUGGUCCCUUUGCAUCCCACGAGAAAAUCUUUCGCCUUUUACUAAAGAUUUCCGUGCAAAGGGACAUUUAUGAGUAUACGCGAAUUUUUGGAGCCCCGACUUCGGUCAGGGG
rnacentral:snRNA from 1 species